rnacentral:rRNA from 1 species
UUGACCUCAAAUCAGGUAGGAUACCC